GUCUAAGGCCAUGCCACCCUGAACGCACCCAAUUUCGUCUCAUCUCGGAAGUUAAGCAGGGUUGGGCCCGGUUAGUACUUGGAUGGGA
rnacentral:rRNA from 1 species